ensembl:lncRNA HLA-L major histocompatibility complex, class I, L (pseudogene)
GGCACUACGAUCCCGGCACUACAGUCCCGGCGCAACCACCCGCACUCAGAUUCUCCCCAAACGCCAAGGAUGGGGGUCAUGGCUCCCCGAACCCUCCUCCUGCUGCUCUUGGGGGCCCUGGCCCUGACCGAGACCUGGGCCGGUGAGUGCGGGGUCGGGAGGGAAAGGGCCUCUGCGGGGAGAAGCGAGUGGCCCGCCCGGCCCGGGGAGCCGCGCCGGGAGGAGGGUCGGGCGGGUCUCAGCCUCUCCUCGCCUCCAGGCUCCCACUCCUUGAGGUAUUUCAGCACCGCAGUGUCCCAGCCCGGCCGCGGGGAGCCCCGGUUCAUCGCCGUGGGCUACGUGGACGACACAGAGUUCGUGCGGUUCGACAGCGACUCCGUGAGUCCGAGGAUGGAGCGGCGGGCGCCGUGGGUGGAGCAGGAGGGGCUGGAGUAUUGGGACCAGGAGACACGGAACGCCAAGGGCCACGCGCAGAUUUACCGAGUGAACCUGCGGACCCUGCUCCGCUAUUACAACCAGAGCGAGGCCGGUAUGAACAGUUCGCCUACGAUGGCAAGGAUUACAUCGCCCUGAACGAGGACCUGCACUCCUGGACCGCCGCGAACACAGCGGCUCAGAUCUCCCAGCACAAGUGGGAAGCGGACAAAUACUCAGAGCAGGUCAGGGCCUACCUGAGGGCAAGUGCAUGGAGUGGCUCCGCAGACACCUGGAGAACGGGAAGGAGACGCUGCAGCACGCGGAUCCCCCAAAGGCACAUGUGACCCAGCACCCCAUCUCUGACCAUGAGGCCACCCUGAGGUGCUGGGCCCUGGGCCUCUACCCUGCGGAGAUCACACUGACCUGGCAGCAGGAUGGGGAGGACCAGACCCAGGACACGGAGCUUGUGGAGACCAGGCCUGCAGGGGACGGAACCUUCCAGAAGUGGGUGGCUGUAGUGGUGCCUUCCGGAGAGGAGCAGAGAUACAUGUGCCAUGUGCAGCAUGAGGGGCUGCCAGAGCCCCUCACCCUGAGAUGGGAGCCGUCUUCUCAGCCCACCAUCCCCAUCGUGGGCAUCGUUGCUGGCCUGUUUCUCCUUGGAGCUGUGGUCACUGGAGCUGUGGUUGCUGCUGCGAUGUGGAGGAAGAAAAGCUCAGGCAGCAAUUGUGCUCAGUACUCUGAUGCAUCUCAUGAUACUUGUAAAGAUGGAAGAUUGAGAAGUGGCUCACAGCUCAGCAGAAUGAAAAAAUAUCUGAAUGCUGCUUUCUGAAACUACUCUCCAGAAUGAUUUCACACUCACUCCUUGGAGCAAACAAUGACUUGCAAAUUUUUCUAAUUUAAACAUAAAGGAGUGUACAUA